UACGUAGGGUGCGAGCGUUGUCCGGAAUUAUUGGGCGUAAAGAGCUUGUAGGCGGUUUGUCGCGUCUGCUGUGAAAAUCCGGGGCUCAACCCCGGACUUGCAGUGGGUACGGGCAGGCUAGAGUGUGGUAGGGGAGACUGGAAUUCCUGGUGUAGCGGUGAAAUGCGCAGAUAUCAGGAGGAACACCGAUGGCGAAGGCAGGUCUCUGGGCCACUACUGACGCUGAGACGCGAAAGCGUGGGGAGCGAACAGG
rnacentral:rRNA from 1 species